GAGGCUUCAGAAGGGCUCACUGUAUAAAUACUUCUUCCUUCUCUCCCACCCAACCCUGCUCUCUCACCUCGGGUCUCCUUUGCUCUCUCUGCUUCUCAGAGUAAGCGUAGUUUGGUGAGGUCCUGAUGAUAUCCGGACGUCUAAAGAUCCUAAGCAGUAGCAGUGAGCAGUAUGUGGUUAAAAAUGUCCAAAGAGAGCCGGGGAUUUAGCUCAGUGGUUUCACCACCUGCUGCGCAAGCGCAACGCCCCGAGUUCUAUCCCCGGUAUUCAAAAAAAAAGCAACCAACCAACCAACCAACCAAAAAAUGUCCAGAGAGACUGAUGAGCCGCAAGCGCUGCGAAACAAGACACCACGGCAACUAUUAUGACAAAAGAAAUGACAAAGGAAAAGAUUGGUAUAUUUGGCUACAUGAGGAAAUGUAAAUACACGUGCAACAGCAGUAACAAAAUAACUUAUGUCAGCAGAUGGAAAAG
rnacentral:lncRNA from 1 species